rnacentral:rRNA from 1 species
GUGGGGAAUAUUGGGCAAUGGACGAAAGCCUGACCCAGCAACGCCUCGUGAAGGAAGAAGGUCUUCGGAUCGUAAACUUCUAUCCUUGGUGAAGAUAAUGACGGUAGCCGAGAAGGAAGCCCCGGCUAACUACGUGCCAGCAGCCGCGGUAAUACGUAGGGGGCAAGCGUUGUCCGUAAUGAUUGGGCGUAAAGGGCGCGUAGGCGGCCUGGUAAGUCUGGAGUGAAAGUCCUGCUUUUAAGUUGGUAAUUGCUUUGGAUACUGUCGGGCUUGAGUGCAGGAGAGGUAAGUGAAAUUCCCGGUGUAGCGGUGAAAUGCGUAGAGAUCGGGAGGAACACCAGUGGCGAAGGCGACUUACUGGAAUGUAACUGACGCUGGGGCGCGAAAGUGUGGGGAGCAAACAGGAUUAGAUACCCUGGUAGUCC